rnacentral:rRNA from 1 species
GAUGAACGCUGGCGGCGUGCCUAAUACAUGCAAGUCGAGCGAACGGACGAGAAGCUUGCUUUUCUGAUGUUAGCGGCGGACGGGUGAGUAACACGUGGAUAACCUACCUAUAAGACUGGGAUAACUUCGGGAAACCGGUUCUACUACUGGAUAAUAUUUUGAACCGCAUGGUUCAAAAGUGAAAGACGGUUUUGCUGUCACUUAUAGAUGGAUCCGCGCUGCAUUAGCUAGUUGGUAAGGUAACGGCUUACCAAGGCAACGAUGCAUAGCCGACCUGAGAGGGUGGUCGGCCACCCUGGAACUGAGACACGGUCCAGACUCCUACGGGAGGCAGCAGUAGGGAAUCUUCCGCAAUGGGCGAAAGCCUGACGGAGCAACGCCGCGUGAGUGAUGAAGGUCUUCGGAUCGUAAAACUCUGUUAUUAGGGAAGAACAUAUGUCUAAGUAACAGUGCACAUCUUGACGGUACCUAAACAGAAAGCCACGGCUAACUACGUG